rnacentral:rRNA from 1 species
UCCGGUGAGUAUGAUGGAGAGGCCACACCUGUUCCCAUCCCGAACACAGAAGUUAAGCUCUCACAUGCCGACGAUAUCUGGUUGGAAACAACCCGGGAAAAUAGGUCUCGCCGGAU